GGCUUUCCUGCUAUGGACCAGGGCAAAGCGCUGGUGCCUUUCUCUGCACCCCCGUUUAUAAAACGGAGAUAAUGACCCCUUUUCCUUUUAACCGGAGUGCGGGGAGGCUUUGGUGCAUUUCUAAAGGACUUGGAGCCCCCCAUUUGGGCAAUCACCAGCACACGUGAGGGGCGCCGACAAGAAGUGAACGCAUCUGGGUUUGGGCAGAACCUGGAGACCCCAGCCCGGGUCAGAGCGCCUGCCCUCCCACCAGCCAUGCUCCUCUUCUGAGCAGCUGUCCACUUCUGAGCCCCUGGGCCUGCCCCUCAGGCAAGGCCAAAGGCCACUCAGGACCUGUGCAAAGAGCAUUCUACCCAGGUCCCAAAGCUCCUGGCUAAACCCCCCAGUCUACGGCCACUUCAGAAAGAAAGGCACCAACUGGUGGAGCCAAUUCCUCUGUCUCAGGGACUGGCUCUGUGAGUCACUGCCCAUCUGCCAGCAGCAAGAAGAAGGAAGGGAGCCUCUCCCAGAACCCGGGGUACCUGCCCUGAUUUGCUGUGAGGAUGCAGGAGUUUUCAGUGGCCCCCGGGAGGACAAGCCAUCCCAGGCCUGCCCUACACUUGUCCCCUCCUGCCGCCC
ensembl:lncRNA